GUGUUAAUUAACUUGAUUGCAGUGAUCAUUUCACAAAGUAUAGAUUUUGUCUUUUUAUUUGACAUAGAGAGAGAGAAGGACUCAAGCAGGGGGAGCAGCGGAGGGAGAGGAAGAAGCAGGUUCCCUGCUGAUCAAGGAGCCUGAAGCAGGCCUCGAUCCCAGGACCCCAGGGUCAUACCUGAGCUGAAGGCAGAUGCUUAACCAACUGAGCCACCCAAGCACCCCUAGAAACAUACUUAUAAGAAGAAAUUGCUAGAAUUUAAAACUGAGUAAGUAGCUCUAUUUUUUAAAGGCAUGUUCUACAUUUCUUGCCUUAACAUAGAUAAACUUAUUUCUA
rnacentral:lncRNA from 1 species